GCGGAUGUGGCGGAAUUGGCAGACGCGCAGGCUUCAGGUGCCUGUGGGCUUAUGCCGUGGAGGUUCGACUCCUCUCAUCCGCA
rnacentral:tRNA from 1 species